CCUACGGGAGGCAGCAGUGGGGAAUCUUAGACAAUGGGCGCAAGCCUGAUCUAGCCAUGCCGCGUGUGUGAUGAAGGCCUUAGGGUCGUAAAGCACUUUCGCCAGAGAUGAUAAUGACAGUAUCUG
rnacentral:rRNA from 1 species